rnacentral:ncRNA from 1 species
CGCUCAUCCAGAGGGGCAGAGGGAUACGGCCCGUUGAAGCCCCGGCAACCCUCCAGUCGAUCUCGAUUCGUCAGAAGCGAGGCUCCCGGCUCGGGAAGGUGCCAAUUCCGUCUCGUGGCGACGUCCGCCGCGGGGAAGAUGAGGA